rnacentral:rRNA from 1 species
GACGAACGCUGGCGGCGUGCUUAACACAUGCAAGUCGAACGGAAAGGCCCUGCUUUUGUGGGAUGCUCGAAUGGCGCACGGGUGAGUAACACGUGAGUAACCUGCCCUUGACUUUGGGAUAACUUCAGGAAACUGGGGCUAAUACCGGAUAGGAGCUCCUGCUGCAUGGUGGGGGUUGGAAAGUUUCGGCGGUUGGGGAUGGACUCGCGGCUUAUCAGCUUGUUGGUGGGGUAGUGGCUUACCAAGGCUUUGACGGGUAGCCGGCCUGAGAGGGUGACCGGCCACAUUGGGACUGAGAUACGGACCAGAAUCCUACGGGAGGCAGCAGUGGGGAAUAGUGCACAAUGGGCGGAAGCCGGAUGCAGCAACGCCGCGUGCGGGAUGACUGCCUUCGGGUUGUAAACCGCUUUCGCCUGUGACGAAGCGAGAGUGACGGUAAUGGGUAAAGAAGCACCGGCUAACUACGUG